rnacentral:misc_RNA from 1 species
GAAGUCGUUACUCCAACCCUUGUGGAGGAGGACGCCGAAGGUGGGGCUAAUGACUGGGGUGAAGUCGUAACAAGGUAGCCGUACCGGAAGGUGCGGCUGGAUCACCUCCUAACAGGGAGACAACAAAAUGUAAAUAUUAAUUUUGUCACCUUAGGUCGAUCGGUAUCUCAGAUUCUUAUUAUUUAAGAAUUUCAGUUUCUAAGUUUUUUCUAGGUCACACCCAUCACUUUUUCCUGGGCCAUUAGCUCAGGUGGUUAGAGCGCACCCCUGAUAGGGGUGAGGUCCCUGGUUCAAGUCCAGGAUGGCCCAUAUCUCUAUGUUGGGGGUAUAGCUCAGUUGGUAGAGCGCCUGCUUUGCAAGCAGGAUGUCAGCGGUUCGAGUCCGCUUACCUCCACUGAAUACCACCUCUUACAUAUAGUUGAAGUGGGAAAUUGUUUUGAGUCGUGUCCUAAUUUGCUCUGAGCGAAUCUAGCUUCCUAUUUUAUCCAAGAAAUAAGAUGCUGGACUCAUUGAAUUUUUUUUCAUUGUUUUCAGAGAACCUUGACAACUGCAUAGAUUAUUUUUAAAGACAAUAAGCAUCUUUAAUGAUGCAGAUUUAUUAUUUGUGCGAAUGCAUUAAAUAACAAUUCUAUUAAGCUGAUGCUUCAAUUAUUGAAGUUAUUGGUCAAGCUACAAAGGGCUCACGGAGGAUACCUAGGCACACAGAGGCGAUGAA